AGUCUUUGUAGUAAUACAAGGCAGACGGCUCAGUAACACGUAGUCAACCUACCCUAUGGACAAGAAUAAUCUCGGGAGACUGAGCAUAAUUCUUGAUAGAUCAUAAUGCCUGGAAUGGUUUAUGGUUAAAAUGAUUCGUCGCCAUAGGAUGGGACUGCGGCCUAUCAGCUUGUUGGUGAGGUAAUGGCCCACCAAGGCGAUUACAGGUACGGGCUCUGAGAGGAGAAGCCCGGAGAUGGGUACUGAGACACGGACCCAGGCCCUAUGGGGCGCAGCAGACGAGAAAACUUUGCAAUGUGCGAAAGCACGACAAGGUUAAUCCGAGUGAUUUCUGCUAAAGAAAUCUUUUGCCAGUCAUAAAACCACUGGUGAAUAAGGGGUGGGCAAGUUCUGGUGUCAGCCGCCGCGGUAAAACCAGCACCUCAAGUGGUCAGGAUGAUUAUUGGGCCUAAAGCAUCCGUAGCCGGCCUUGUUAGUUUUCGGUUAAAUCCAUGUGCUCAACGCAUGGGCUGCCGAAAAUACUGCAUAGCUAGGGAGUGGGAGAGGUAGACGGUACUCAGUAGGAAGGGGUAAAAUCCUUUGAUCUAUUGAUGACCACCUGUGGCGAAGGCGG
rnacentral:rRNA from 1 species